rnacentral:tRNA from 1 species
GGGAAUAUGGCUUAGAGGUAGAGUGCUUGCUUAGCAUGCAUGAAGCCCCAGGUUCAAUUCCUCAGUACCA